rnacentral:lncRNA from 1 species
ACCUAACCCAUCUUCAGUUCAAAAAAAAAAAAAAAAACCCUAGUUUCUCUCAACUCUCAACACAUCCAGUCCGGCCGACAUCAUCCAGUUCCACCGUCACAUCCCUCAUCCGCCGACAUCACCGUCCGCCGCAGGCCGCCACUCCACCAGCAUCACCGUCCGCCGUAUAGCCGCUCCACCGUAGUGCCGUACAGCCGCUCCACCUUAGUGCCGUACAACCGCUCCACCGGGUUUGACCCUGUACAAGCGAUAAGUGAAUGGGCUGGAUUUGACCCUGUACAAGGUUUGGUCUACCAAGCUAGUUAUGGACCUUUCAUAUAUUUUAGUGGGCUACUGAUAAGCGAAUGGGCUGGAUUUGACCCUGUACAAGGUUUGGUCUACCGAGCCAGGUUGGGCUUGAAUAUUGUUGUGUGAAAUCAGUAAACCGUCGUAAACAGAGGACUAUGCACCGGGUGUGGGUUCAUGGGAAGUUCCAAAAACCCAUGUCAUCUGUUCCAUCAGUUUGUUGCUGUUCAAUCACAAUUGAUGACUACAAGAAGUAAAAUACUGAUUAAAGACGUGGUCUGUAAAUCAACACAAAGCAAGAAGAUAAUUGGAAACUACUGCUAACUGCUGCAAUAUGGGAGCGUAGAGAAAGAUAGGGGAGUGGAGUUAUUUCAAGGGAGUGAGGAGUUUACAGGGAACUGCUGAGAACUGCCAAGAUAGCAGUUAAUUUUGUGAGUCGUGGAGUGGAGAUAGUGGGCAGCAAAAGGUGGAGGUAACCACCCGCUUCAAAAACCGACCAUAACCUCCGGGAACCGCCAUUAGAGUGGUUAUUUUUGGGAAUUUAAACAGCUGAGAUUUCAUCUCAGCAUGAUCCUACGGUGAAUAUUGAUUUGCAAAACGGUUAGACUUAAUGGGU